UUGUCAGGUACGCCUGCUUUGGUCCACUCACUGGAGAAUUUGGAGCUUUAUAUGAAAGCUGUCGUUCUAAACUUGGCCUUAUAUAAAACGGGAUGACCAAGCAUACUUGCCUGCAAGCCUAAAGGCCGUUGAUAGACAGCAGAUGAUUUUGUCUACAUGUAAUAAAUACAUAUUGGGCGGCUUUGGACGCUACAUGUGAUUUUCAAAAAAAGCGUCUGUUUGUCUUUCUUGGUGGCGGAGUCUUGUUGUUUAUGUUAAACUUUUGUAAUUAUGUACGUGAGGAGUCUUGAUAUAAUUUAAAAAAAUUAUACUCCAGUGUCUUAAUUUAAAAAAAAAAUAAAAAAUCUAAAAUAAUGAAUGACUAAUUAAAAUAAUUCUUUAGACAUUGUAACACUCGUGAGCUUUACUCAAGCCGCUGUUAUAAAUAUAUUUUGUUAUUCAUUAGUAAGUAAUAAAACUUAAAAUCUAUA